AAAUGAUUAAUCUGUAUGUUCAAUCUAUUAAUUGCUAGGCAUCUUUUCACAAUGGAUGUCAAGGGAAAAGCCAAGUGGUCUUGAUUUUGAUCCUUGUUGCUCAACUAUUGUUCUAUGAGGGCAGGAACCCAUGUGUUAUUCACUGAGCGUGGUAAACUCUCACAAAGAUGUAUUACAUAAAUGAGUGAGUAACGGCUGACUUUAAACUGGCAUGCAGGGUGAUAUACAUUUUCUUUUGUGCUCUCUGCUGUGUGAAGGAAUGUCAAACUUGAUUUCUUAAAGACAGUAACGGUCUCCAGUCUGGUCCACGAUGUGUAUCCAUCCCUACAUCUGCCCCAGUCCUGCAGGAACCCCCAUCUCAAAAGGGGUGCUCCUCUUCACUCAGAACAGCCCACUUCUUCUCUAUUCCACCACGUCUGCAUCCCCUCUUCCGCCCAGCCUCGAAUCUCCACCAUCCAAAUCUGAACUUCUAAAGCUUACUCAUUUUCUGAUUCAAGUUCACAUUUUCUUUCCCCUUAGAUUUGCAUAGCACUUUUCAUUUCACUGUUUGGUCCAAAAUUCACAUAAUCCUCUAAUGAACUCCCAGGCACGUCAUCAUUGUUCUGGGAAUUUUAUGUAAUGACCUCUUUUAGGUGAAAUGAGACAUAUGGGCAACUCAUGGGGAGACAGGAUGUGCAUGAGAAAGGUCGGAACACGUGCUGUGGGAAUUGGAAAGAGGGAAGGAGAAUGGCUUCUUUGACGGAUCCUUUGGACAGGGCCUCAACAGGUCAGGAGGAUGUGGACAUGUGAGGGAACAGCAUGAGGAAAGUAAGGAGAGAGGAAGUGCAGGUCUGUCGAGGAGCAGAGAGGAGCAGGUGUGGCUGCAGGUGGAGGUGCUUAGAGGAGAGGAGGGAAUCUCACAGGACCACUGGGCCAUGAGUGGUGGCCUGAGAUUGGACUUAAUGCCAUGUAGUAUAUGUUUUCUGUUUGAUGGAGGAAUUUAAACUUUCACCUCUUAUAGUGAGAGCUCACAUCUCCUUCAAGAAAGGAAUUAUUUCUGAUACCUCAGUGAAAUAGAGAGAGGAAAACAAGGUAAAAAUUUCCCAAGGGGUUUCUACAAGAUUUCCAGCACUUCCUAAAUUAGCCCUGACCAGUAAAACCACGAGAGAAGACUUCCUGGCAGAGCCUGGCACUUCCAUUUCCAGUCCCAACCGAAAGCAGGAAGCAUUGAGACAAGUAAUAAUUCAACUCUUCAGUUGGCUUCCAAAAUUAUCCACAUUCAGGUCACCUGGCAUUCGCACCAAAGAUGUAGACACCUCCUGAGCAAGCCUUUAAAUUGUCAUUGUGCUGUGGUCACAAGUAAUUAUGCCUUUCAUUCCUGGGGGCAGAGAUGGUCAAACUGCCUGAAAGUAUUUGGAGACAUCAUUGCUGACACUUUCCUCCCAUGAAGGAAUAGGCAUGACAAUGUUGCUGAUGCAUGGUGGGCUGUUAGAACCAUUGGGGGUGGGCAGCCCCCUCCAUGAACCCCAGUGACUCUCACCUCCUGCAUCCCCAUCCUGUGUCAUCCUUCCCACAUUGCAGCAGGCAGGAAGGGUUUGUGUGGUCAAUAGCAUAAAGCGAUGGUAUGAUGCUUCCAAGGUUAACUUGUAAAAGGUUUUCACUUCUAUUCUUCCUCCUCCCUCCCUCCUCCCCGCCCCCUUUCUACCCCAAAACCAGAAAAGCAAGCUGCCAUGUUGUAAGCAGUCACAUGAUGGAUCAAAUCCUCUUGCCACCAGCCAAAUGCUUAGAAGCAGACGCUUCAGCCCCUUCUGAUACCUGCAGCCCUGGCCAGCAACUUCACUGCAAUUUUAAGACUCCCUUGGAUUUGUUUAAGUUGCUAAGUUUGGGGAUAGCUUGUUACACAAGUUAUCUGUUACACAGCAGUAGAUAACUAGUACAAACACCAUCAGUGGUUUACUGAAUAGCUCUUGCAUCCUCAGGUUGUUCCGGCUUUGCAGAACAACCAAGGGUGAGGGUGGCAAUCACAAUCGUUGCUGACUCCUACGUUCCCACUCAAUAAAGCCAAACCCUUUUUCUUCUGGUGUCCUGGAGGCUCCUGUAUCUUCCCUUGCCUUGCCAUGGCCUUUGUUCUGGGAGAAGAAGAGUUAAGAGCAUGCUACAGAUUGGGAAGUGAGCUUCUGCUUCCAGCACUAUGACAAGCUGCUCUGACCCCAUCUCUGUGGUUUGUGAUAAGUGAGUGAAGUGGGGACAGAGCAGCCUGCAGGCAUGCGUAGACACGUAGACAUGAGUGCAAACUCUAGCUCUGGCACUGAAUGGCUUUGCAUCAUCUCUAUGAGGCUCAGUUUCCUUACCUGUAAAAUGGGAAAAUAAUAC
rnacentral:lncRNA from 1 species